rnacentral:rRNA from 1 species
GAUGAACGCUGGCGGCGUGCCUCAUACAUGCAAGUCGAGCGAACAGAAGAGAACAUUGCUACUCUGACGUUAGCGGCGGACGGGUGAGUAACACGUGGAUAACCUACCUAUAAGACUGGGAUAACUUCGGGAAACCGGAGCUAAUACCGGAUAAUAUAUUGAACCGCAUGGUUCAAUAGUGAAAGACGGUUUUGCUGUCACUUAUAGAUGGAUCCGCGCCGCAUUAGCUAGUUGGUAAGGUAACGGCUUACCAAGGCAACGAUGCGUAGCCGACCUGAGAGGGUGAUCGGCCACACUGGAACUGAGACACGGUCCAGACUCCUACGGGAGGCAGCAGUAGGGAAUCUUCCGCAAUGGGCGAAAGCCUGACGGAGCAACGCCGCGUGAGUGAUGAAGGUCUUCGGAUCGUAAAACUCUGUUAUUAGGGAAGAACAAAUGUGUAAGUAACUAUGCACGUCUUGACGGUACCUAAUCAGAAAGCCACGGCUAACUACGUG